UACGUAGGUGGCAAGCGUUGUCCGGAUUUAUUGGGUUUAAAGGGUGCGUAGGCGGCUCUGUAAGUCAGUUGUGAAAUACUUCAGCUUAACUGGAGAGGUGUAAUUGAUACUGUGGAGCUUGAGUACUGAUGAGGUAGGCGGAAUGGACGGUGUAGCGGUGAAAUGCUUAGAUAUCGUCCAGAACACCGAUAGCGAAGGCAGCUUACUAAGGAGUAACUGACGCUGAGGCACGAAAGUGUGGGGAUCAAACAGG
rnacentral:rRNA from 1 species